UACAGAGGGUGCGAGCGUUGUUCGGAAUUAUUGGGCGUAAAGGGCGCGUAGGCGGCGCCACAAGUCACCUGUGAAAACUCUGGGCUCAACCCAGAGCCUGCAGGCGAAACUGUGGUGCUGGAGUAUGGGAGAGGUGAGUGGAACUGCGAGUGUAGAGGUGAAAUUCGUAGAUAUUCGCAAGAACACCAGUGGCGAAGGCGGCUCACUGGCCCGAUACUGACGCUGAGGCACGAAAGCGUGGGGAGCAAACAGG
rnacentral:rRNA from 1 species